AGCUUUGUGCAGUGGCAGUAUCAUAGUCAAUGAGGCUAAUCCAAGGCACAAUUAUUGCUAAUUGGUUAUUGCUAAUUGAACUUCCUUAAAGUGGAUAGUGAAAUUGAGAAAAGCACUAAAG
rnacentral:snRNA from 1 species